rnacentral:rRNA from 1 species
CUUGCUUCUCUUGAGAGCGGCGGACGGGUGAGUAAUGCCUAGGAAUCUGCCUGGUAGUGGGGGAUAACGUUCGGAAACGGACGCUAAUACCGCAUACGUCCUACGGGAGAAAGCAGGGGACCUUCGGGCCUUGCGCUAUCAGAUGAGCCUAGGUCGGAUUAGCUAGUUGGUGGGGUAAUGGCUCACCAAGGCGACGAUCCGUAACUGGUCUGAGAGGAUGAUCAGUCACACUGGAACUGAGACACGGUCCAGACUCCUACGGGAGGCAGCAGUGGGGAAUAUUGGACAAUGGGCGAAAGCCUGAUCCAGCCAUGCCGCGUGUGUGAAGAAGGUCUUCGGAUUGUAAAGCACUUUAAGUUGGGAGGAAGGGUUGUAGAUUAAUACUCUGCAAUUUUGACGUUACCGACAGAAUAAGCACCGGCUAACUCUGUGCCAGCAGCCGCGGUAAUACAGAGGGUGCAAGCGUUAAUCGGAAUUACUGGGCGUAAAGCGCGCGUAGGUGGUUUGUUAAGUUGGAUGUGAAAUCCCCGGGCUCAACCUGGGAACUGCAUUCAAAACUGACUGACUAGAGUAUGGUAGAGGGUGGUGGAAUUUCCUGUGUAGCGGUG